GCCUGGGUGGCUCAGUCGGUUAAGCGUCUGACUUUGGCUCAGGUCAUGAUCCUACAGUUUGUGGGCUCGAGCCCCACAUCAGGCU
rnacentral:tRNA from 1 species